AGUCGAGGGGCAGCAUUUUAGUUUGCUUGCAAACUAAAGAUGGCGACCGGCGCACGGGCUGAGCUAACACGCUAUCCAACCUGCCGAUAACUCGGGGAUAGCCUUUCGAAAGAAAGAUUAAUAUCCGAUAGUAUAUUAAAACCGCAUGGUUUUACUAUUAAAGAAUUUCGGUUAUCGAUGGGGAUGCGUUCCAUUAGUUUGUUGGCGGGGUAACGGCCCACCAAGACUACGAUGGAUAGGGGUUCUGAGAGGAAGGUCCCCCACAUUGGAACUGAGACACGGUCCAAACUCNUACGGGAGGCAGCAGUGAGGAAUAUUGGUCAAUGGACGAGAGUCUGAACCAGCCAAGUAGCGUGAAGGAUGACUGCCCUAUGGGUUGUAAACUUCUUUUAUAUGGGAAUAAAGUAUUCCACGUGUGGGAUUUUUGUAUGUACCAUAUGAAUAAGGAUCGGCUAACUCCGUGCCAGCAGCCGCGGUAAUACGGAGGAUCCGAGCGUUAUCCGGAUUUAUUGGGUUUNAAAGGGAGCGUAGGUGGAUUGUUAAGUCAGUUGUGAAAGUUUGCGGCUCAACCGUAAAAUUGCAGUUGAAACUGGCAGUCUUGAGUACAGUAGAGGUGGGCGGAAUUCGUGGUGUAGCGGUGAAAUGCUUAGAUAUCACGAAGAACUCCGAUUGCGAAGGCAGCUCACUAGACUGCAACUGACACUGAUGCUCGAAAGUGUGGGUAUCAAACAGGAUUAGAUACCCUGGUAGUCCACACAGUAAACGAUGAAUACUCGCUGUUUGCGAUAUACAGUAAGCGGCCAAGCGAAAGCAUUAAGUAUUCCACCUGGGGAGUACGCCGGCAACGGUGAAACUCAAAGGAAUUGACGGGGGCCCGCACAAGCGGAGGAACAUGUGGUUUAAUUCGAUGAUACGCGAGGAACCUUACCCGGGCUUAAAUUGCAUUUGAAUAAUCUGGAAACAGGUUAGCCGCAAGGCAAAUGUGAAGGUGCUGCAUGGGUUGUCGUCAGCUCGUGCCGUGAAGGGUCGGCUUAAGUGCCAUAACGAGCGCAACCCUUAUCUUUAGUUACUAACAGGUCAUGCUGAGGACUCUAGAGAGACUGCCGUCGUAAGAUGUGAGGAAGGUGGGGAUGACGUCAAAUCAGCACGGCCCUUACGUCCGGGGCUACACACGUGUUACAAUGGGGGGUACAGAAGGCAGCUACCUGGCGACAGGAUGCUAAUCCCAAAAACCUCUCUCAGUUCGGAUCGAAGUCUGCAACCCGACUUCGUGAAGCUGGAUUCGCUAGUAAUCGCGCAUCAGCCAUGGCGCGGUGAAUACGUUCCCGGGCCUUGUACACACCGCCCGUCAAGCCAUGAAAGCCGGGGGUACCUGAAGUACGAACCGCAAGGAG
rnacentral:rRNA from 1 species